CAGAUAAAGCAAAAUAAAAUCUCUCGGAAAAGGCUGCAGCGGGCCUCAACACGGAAAACUAUACGAGCAGCCGGGUCUUGGAAAUCAUCGUGGGGAGAGCGAAACCGCUACGGUUGCAGCUAAAGUCCCGCAGCCGUCAGCAUUUUCUGUUGCGAGUUCCUCUCUUCUCCUCUUCUACUCCUGGCUGAAAACUUUUGCUGACUCAACUCCGCUCUGGAUCCGGGACCGCUGGAUAUUUAUGAAGCGCCUGACGUCACCCCACCUUCUCGACCAAUGGCGGGAAGACGACGUCACGUGCUGACCCCCCUUUCCGAGAGAGUUUCCAGGCCCCCGAAAGAUGAGGUGGGGGUGCACACGCGCUUUUUGAGCGUGACACGUCGUGCGGACCAACGUUUUUUGGACCUUAAAACUUUUGCAAACAUUUUUAUAAUGACUUUACUAAGAAUAAUUAACAUAGCCUGCGAGAUAAUCAAAUUAAACGGCAAAAUUACAGUUAAUGAGCCUGAUGAAAUGGUUCGCAACAAUGUAGAAGAGCAGUUGAUGGAAAUUUACAGGUAAAAAGGAGAGCCGUAGCAGGAAAUGGAAGAUUGCUUCAGUGCGUCCAUCACAACUCUUCCGAUAAGAGAAUGAGAGAUGAUAGUGAUUUGUGAAACCUUCCCAAAGGCAGUCACGUGCAUCCUAUAGUGACAUCUUUUCCUUCUUGCAUUUGUGACAAAUCAGAUUUAGCCAAAAAGGUGAUGAGAGAAGCGGAGCGGAUGACCGCCGACUGGACAGCGGCGACUGCAAGGCGACACCUUUGGAGAGACAAGAGAAUAAAUAUUUUAUUCUCCGAUGGACUCAGUGUUUUAUUCUUUUUGUAAAAUGAGAGUCGCUUUACACUUGAUUCAACAGU